rnacentral:rRNA from 1 species
UACAGAGGUCUCAAGCGUUGUUCGGAUUCAUUGGGCGUAAAGGGUGCGUAGGCGGCGCGGUAAGUCGGGUGUGAAAUCUCGGAGCUUAACUCCGAAACUGCAUUCGAUACUGCCGUGCUUGAGGACUGGAGAGGAGACUGGAAUUUACGGUGUAGCGGUGAAAUGCGUAGAUAUCGGGAGGAACACCGGUGGCGAAGGCGGCGAUCUGGGUCGAUACUGACGCUGAGGUGCGAAAGCGUGGGGAGCAAACAGG